GACGAACGCUGGCGGCGUGCUUAACACAUGCAAGUCGAACGGAAAGGCCCUGCUUUUGUGGGGUGCUCGAGUGGCGAACGGGUGAGUAACACGUGAGUAACCUGCCCUUGACUUUGGGAUAACUUCAGGAAACUGGGGCUAAUACCGGAUAGGAGCUCCUGCUGCAUGGUGGGGGUUGGAAAGUUUCGGCGGUUGGGGAUGGACUCGCGGCUUAUCAGCUUGUUGGUGGGGUAGUGGCUUACCAAGGCUUUGACGGGCAGCCGGCCUGAGAGGGUGACCGACCACAUUGGGACUGAGAUACGGCCCAGACUCCUACGGGAGGCAGCAGUGGGGAAUAUUGCACAAUGGGCGGAAGCCUGAUGCAGCAACGCCGCGUGCGGGAUGACGGCCUUCGGGUUGUAAACCGCUUUCGCCUGUGACGAAGCGUGAGUGACGGUAAUGGGUAAAGAAGCACCGGCUAACUACGUG
rnacentral:rRNA from 1 species